UGAUUUUGCCAUUGCAGAAGAGAUAGAAGCAAUUGAGUUUCCCUUCGUGCUCCACCACCUUCAACAAUUACAGCAACCUCAGAAAAGGUGUGAUAGUUGCCAUGCCAUCAGUGAGUGUAAUAUCCAGCUUUUCCAUUAUGGAUGCUCACCAGGGAAGUGGCUGCCACUAACAUAGCUUUUAUAGACACAGAUACACACAGCAUCUUUGAGAGAGGAUGUGAUGUUUGGAUGCCACGCCCAUCUCCCUGUGGAUCUAGUAACCAGAACAAUACCGACACGGAAUCCCCAGACCUUGAGAGGAUGGAUCUGUUCCUUCCUUUGGUUAAAGCUUUGAACCCGGAAGGACCCGUAUUGUACUGUAUCGUGAGUGUUUUGUUUGUUUUGUAUAAUUGUUAUUAUUAGACGGCUAACACGUUCUGGAGCUGUCGUCAGAGGCCAGCACUUACCUGGAACAUCCCUGCACUGGAGCAUGAUCAAUUGUAUUUAC